GCCCGGGUGGCGGAACUGGUAGACGCGCGGGACUCAAAAUCCCGUGAUGGCAACAUCGUGAGGGUUCAAGUCCCUCCUCGGGCA
rfam:Candidatus Peregrinibacteria bacterium RIFCSPLOWO2_02_FTLL_39_10 rifcsplowo2_02_scaffold_20607, whole genome shotgun sequence.